GUUGGGUACGGUGACAUGACGCCCAAGACGUACAUCGGCAUGUUUGUCGGUGCGCUGUGUGCGCUGGCCGGUGUGCUGACGAUCGCCCUGCCCGUGCCCGUCAUCGUGAGCAAC
rfam:Anopheles gambiae str. PEST chromosome 3R, whole genome shotgun sequence.